CUAUCACUUCUGGAUGAUCCCGCGGCGUAUUAGUUAGUUGGUGAGGUAAAGGCCCACCAAGACGAUGAUACGUAGCCGACCUGAGAGGGUAAUCGGCCACAUUGGGACUGAGACACGGCCCAAACUCAUACGGGAGGCAGCAGUAGGGAAUCUUCCACAAUGGACGAAAGUCUGAUGGAGCAAUGCCGCGUGAGUGAAGAAGGGUUUCGGCUCGUAAAACUCUGUUGUUAAAGAAGAACACCUUUGAGAGUAACUGUUCAAGGGUUGACGGUAUUUAACCAGAAAGCCACGGCUAACUACGUGCCAGCAGCCGCGGUAAUACGUAGGUGGCAAGCGUUGUCCGGAUUUAUUGGGCGUAAAGCGAGCGCAGGCGGUUUUUUAAGUCUGAUGUGAAAGCCUUCGGCUUAACCGGAGAAGUGCAUCGGAAACUGGGAGACUUGAGUGCAGAAGAGGACAGUGGAACUCCAUGUGUAGCGGUGGAAUGCGUAGAUAUAUGGAAGAACACCAGUGGCGAAGGCGGCUGUCUAGUCUGUAACUGACGCUGAGGCUCGAAAGCAUGGGUAGCGAACAGGAUUAGAUACCCUGGUAGUCCAUGCCGUAAACGAUGAGUGCUAAGUGUUGGAGGGUUUCCGCCCUUCAGUGCUGCAGCUAACGCAUUAAGCACUCCGCCUGGGGAGUACGACCGCAAGGUUGAAACUCAAAGGAAUUGACGGGGGCCCGCACAAGCGGUGGAGCAUGUGGUUUAAUUCGAAGCUACGCGAAGAACCUUACCAGGUCUUGACAUCUUCUGCCAAUCUUAGAGAUAAGACGUUCCCUUCGGGGACAGAAUGACAGGUGGUGCAUGGUUGUCGUCAGCUCGUGUCGUGAGAUGUUGGGUUAAGUCCCGCAACGAGCGCAACCCUUAUUAUCAGUUGCCAGCAUUCAGUUGGGCACUCUGGUGAGACUGCCGGUGACAAACCGGAGGAAGGUGGGGAUGACGUCAAAUCAUCAUGCCCCUUAUGACCUGGGCUACACACGUGCUACAAUGGACGGUACAACGAGUCGCGAAGUCGUGAGGCUAAGCUAAUCUCUUAAAGCCGUUCUCAGUUCGGAUUGUAGGCUGCAACUCGCCUACAUGAAGUUGGAAUCGCUAGUAAUCGCGGAUCAGCAUGCCGCGGUGAAUACGUUCCCGGGCCUUGUACACACCGCCCGUCACACCAUGAGAGUUUGUAACACCCAAAGCCGGUGAG
rnacentral:rRNA from 2 species